AGGCUGAAAAAAAUAACGCCAUUUCCAGAUCGUUCUUCUCUUAAACGCACAAUGUUUCCCGUCGGGGUCUGUAUUGCUAAUCUGGUAUUGCUAAUGGAGGUAGAUGGCUGGCAGGCAUAGGCCGAAACAUUAAAUUUGUAUUCAACACCAGAAUGCAAUGUACCACAUUGGGGGGAAUUAAUAUACAAAUCAACCGAUGGACAAUGUGGUACAGGAUGACGAGUCACAAACUCUAGAGCUUUAUUUUUGCCAUGAUGUACAAAUGGAAGAGACAUUGCCAUAGGAUGAGGUGCAGUCCUCACGGGACUAGAGACUCCUAAGCGACCAGCGUAUAUCCUUAGCACCGCAGCACGAUUAUUAGCAGGCAUAACAGCUUUAACUCUCAUAACACGAAUAUCCGGAGUUUCCCAGAAAGCCUGUGUUAACGUGUAUUUAUAACACUGUGAAACAUCAGCAGUAGGUGCUAAAGCAGAUAGAGCAUCAACUUCAGCAACGCAUUCAAUAUCCUUUGGAGCUAAAAAUUCGAUUUGUAAAACUUCAAGGUCAUUUAAAUGUAGAAUACUGGUAUUGAAUUUACGCAACUUCAAUCCUAAAGUAAAAUACACAGACGAUACCCAAGGUAAUGCCAUUACUAUAGGCAUAGACAAAUCUGGCAUUAUAAACUGCUGGUCCGGAUUCUCAGGUACGUGAGUAAAUAUACACUCGUUUGGUUUCAUUAAAAAAUAAAAAUCAUUGGAGCUGCUGGAUUUCAAGGCCUGCUGUGGGUGUGUUGGACUGGCAAAACUAGCAUCAAUUAGACGA